rnacentral:rRNA from 1 species
AGAGUUUGAUCCUGGCUCAGGACGAACGCUGGCGGCGUGCUUAACACAUGCAAGUCGAACGGAAAGGCCCUUUCGGGGGUACUCGAGUGGCGAACGGGUGAGUAACACGUGGGUGAUCUGCCCUGCACUUUGGGAUAAGCCUGGGAAACUGGGUCUAAUACCGGAUAGGACUACGCGAUGCAUGUCGUGUGGUGGAAAGCUUUUGCGGUGUGGGAUGGGCCCGCGGCCUAUCAGCUUGUUGGUGGGGUGAUGGCCCACCAAGGCGACGACGGGUAGCCGGCCUGAGAGGGUGACCGGCCACACUGGGACUGAGAUACGGCCCAGACUCCUACGGGAGGCAGCAGUGGGGAAUAUUGCACAAUGGGCGCAAGCCUGAUGCAGCGACGCCGCGUGAGGGAUGACGGCCUUCGGGUUGUAAACCUCUUUCAGUGCCGACGAAGCGCAAGUGACGGUAGGCAUAGAAGAAGGACCGGCCAACUACGUGCCAGCAGCCGCGGUAAUACGUAGGGUCCGAGCGUUGUCCGGAAUUACUGGGCGUAAAGAGCUCGUAGGUGGUUUGUCGCGUUGUUCGUGAAAACUCACAGCUCAACUGUGGGCGUGCGGGCGAUACGGGCAGACUUGAGUACUGCAGGGGAGACUGGAAUUCCUGGUGUAGCGGUGGAAUGCGCAGAUAUCAGGAGGAACACCGGUGGCGAAGGCGGGUCUCUGGGCAGUAACUGACGCUGAGGAGCGAAAGCGUGGGGAGCGAACAGGAUUAGAUACCCUGGUAGUCC